AUUGAACGCUGGCGGCAGGCCUAACACAUGCAAGUCGAGCGGAUGAAGGGAGCUUGCUCCUGGAUUCAGCGGCGGACGGGUGAGUAAUGCCUAGGAAUCUGCCUGGUAGUGGGGGAUAACGUCCGGAAACGGGCGCUAAUACCGCAUACGUCCUGAGGGGGAAAGUGGGGGUUCUUCGGACUUCACGCUAUCAGAUGAGCCUAGGUCGGAUUAGCUAGUUGGUGGGGUAAAGGCCUACCAAGGCGACGAUCCGUAACUGGUCUGAGAGGAUGAUCAGUCACACUGGAACUGAGACACGGUCCAGACUCCUACGGGAGGCAGCAGUGGGGAAUAUUGGACAAAGGGCGAAAGCCUGAUCCAGCCAUGCCGCGUGUGUGAAGAAGGUCUUCGGAUUGUAAAGCACUUUAAGUUGGGAGGAAGGGCAGUAAGUUAAUACCUUGCUGUUUUGACGUUACCAACAGAAUAAGCACCGGCUAACUUCGUG
rnacentral:rRNA from 1 species